AUUGAACGCUGGCGGCAGGCCUAACACAUGCAAGUCGAGCGGAUGAAGGGAGCUUGCUCCUGGAUUCAGCGGCGGACGGGUGAGUAAUGCCUAGGAAUCUGCCUGGUAGUGGGGGAUAACGUCCGGAAACGGGCGCUAAUACCGCAUACGUCCUGCGGGUGAAAGUGGGGGAUCUUCGGACCUCUCGCUAUCAGAUGAGCCUAGGUCGGAUUAGCUAGUUGGUGGGGUAAAGGCCUACCAAGGCGACGAUUCGUAACUGGUCUGAGAGGAUGAUCAGUCACACUGGAACGGAGACACGGUCCAGACGCCUACGGGAGGCAGCAGUGGGGAAUAUUGGACAAUGGGCGAAAGCCUGAUCCAGCCAUGCCGCGUGUGUGAAGAAGGUCUUCGGAUGGUAAAGCACGUUAAGUUGGGAGGAAGGGCAUUAAGUUAAUACCUUGCUGUUUUGACGGUACCAACAGAAUAAGCACCGGCUAACUUCGUG
rnacentral:rRNA from 1 species